rnacentral:tRNA from 1 species
GCCCGGGUGGCUCAGUCAGUUUGAGCACCGGACUUCGGCUCAGGUCAUGAUCUCGCAGUUUGUGGGUUCGAGCCCCGCGUCAGGCU